UACGUAGGGUGCAAGCGUUAAUCGGAAUUACUGGGCGUAAAGCGUGCGCAGGCGGUUAUGUAAGACAGUUGUGAAAUCCCCGGGCUCAACCUGGGAACUGCAUCUGUGACUGCAUAGCUAGAGUACGGUAGAGGGGGAUGGAAUUCCGCGUGUAGCAGUGAAAUGCGUAGAUAUGCGGAGGAACACCGAUGGCGAAGGCAAUCCCCUGGACCUGUACUGACGCUCAUGCACGAAAGCGUGGGGGAGCAAAC
rnacentral:rRNA from 1 species